rnacentral:rRNA from 1 species
CUCCCAAACCCCUGUGAACAUACCUUAAUGUUGCCUCGGCGGAUCAGCCCGCGCCCCGUAAAACGGGACGGCCCGCCAGAGGACCCAAACUCUAAUGUUUCUUAUUGUAACUUCUGAGUAAAACAAACAAAUAAAUCAAAACUUUCAACAACGGAUCUCUUGGUUCUGGCAUCGAUGAAGAACGCAGCAAAAUGCGAUAAGUAAUGUGAAUUGCAGAAUUCAGUGAAUCAUCGAAUCUUUGAACGCACAUUGCGCCCGCUGGUAUUCCGGCGGGCAUGCCUGUUCGAGCGUCAUUUCAACCCUCAAGCCCCCGGGUUUGGUGUUGGGGAUCGGCUCUGCCUUACGGCGGUGCCGCCCCCGAAAUACAUUGGCGGUCUCGCUGCAGCCUCCAUUGCGUAGUAGCUAACACCUCGCAACUGGAACGCGGCGCGGCCAUGCCGUAAAACCCCAACUUCUGAAUGUUGACCUCGGAUCAGGUAGGAAUACCCGCUGAACUUAAGCAUAUC